GACGAACGCUGGCGGCGUGCUUAACACAUGCAAGUCGAACGGAAAGGCCCUGCUUUUGUGGGGUUCUCGGGUGGCGAACGGGUGAGUAACACGUGAGUAACCUGCCCUUGACUUUGGGAUAACUUCAGGAAACUGGGCCUACUCCCGGAUAGGAGCUCCUGCUGCAUGGUGGGGGUUGGAAAGUUUAGGCGGUUGGGGAUGGACUGGCGGCUUAUCAGUUAGUUGGUGGGGUAGUGGCUUACCAAGGCUUUGACGGGUAGCCGGCCUGAGAGGGUGACCGGCCACAUUGGGACUGAGAUACGGCCCAGACUCCUACGGGAGGCAGCAGGGGGGAAUAUUGCACAAUGGGCGGAAGCCUGAUGCAGCAACGCCGCGUGCGGGAUGACGGCCUUCGGGUUGUAAACCGCUUUCGCCUGUGACGAAGCGGGAGUGACGGUAAUGGGUAAAGAAGCACCGGCUAACUACGUG
rnacentral:rRNA from 1 species